rnacentral:rRNA from 1 species
AUUGAACGCUGGCGGCAGGCUUAACACAUGCAAGUCGAGCGGGGGAAGGUAGCUUGCUACCGGACCUAGCGGCGGACGGGUGAGUAGUGCUUAGGAAUCUGCCUAUUAGUGGGGGACAACAUCUCGAAAGAGAUGCUAAUACCGCAUACGUCCUACGGGAGAAAGCAGGGGAUCUUCGGACCUUGCGCUAAUAGAUGAGCCUAAGUCGGAUUAGCUAGUUGGUGGGGUAAAGGCCUACCAAGGCGACGAUCUGUAGCGGGUCUGAGAGGAUGAUCCGCCACACUGGGACUGAGACACGGCCCAGACUCCUACGGGAGGCAGCAGUGGGGAAUAUUGGACAAUGGGGGGAACCCUGAUCCAGCCAUGCCGCGUGUGUGAAGAAGGCCUUAUGGUUGUAAAGCACUUUAAGCGAGGAGGAGGCUACUCUAGUUAAUACCUAGGGAUAGUGGACGUUACUCGCAGAAUAAGCACCGGCUAACUCUGUGCCAGCAGCCGCAGUAA